rnacentral:lncRNA from 1 species
CAUCUCCUCCACUCUGAUCUUCUUCGCCAGCCCGGAGGCUGCGGUGUCCUUUCUUUUAAGAGCCUUCAGGCCCUUGGCAAGCAUCUGUGCUUCUUCGGCGUCCAUGCCCAAAAAAAAAAAGGAAAGAAAAGGAGAAAGAGGGAGUGAAAAAGGAGAAAAGAAGAGAAGUAGGGGAGAAAGAGAGGGAAGGAAAGGAAAAGAAGAAAAGAAAAGGAGAGAUG